UGACAGUUAUAAUUAACAGGGUAAGAUUUUGAUAUCAUUCAGGGAGGAGAGUGCCAGUAGAAGACGCAAGAAACCUAAGAAUAGUAGAAAAUCAUGGGACAAAAAGAAAGGUGCCUGAAAUAUAACUCAAUAGUAUCAAGAAAGCAUGAUCCCUUGUUUUUGUACUGGGUUCAGUAGUGACAUUUUGUGCUCAAUUGGCAAGAUGGAUUAGUUGAGUUCAUGGAACAGUAUGGGAUCUGCCAGUUCUUUCUGUUCCCAAGAAGGAAUGUCUUGUACUCCAUCGCGUGACCCAGCUCAAAGCUGAUGAAACUUGCUGAACUGAAAAGAGUACGUUUGAGUGCCAGGCAGUCCUGGGACUACAUCUCACAAAGUGUUGGAUGGUGUUUAAGUGUCUCUGUCAUUUGUGCAAGUAAAUUACGCAACUGCUCAAUAUUCUUUU